rnacentral:rRNA from 1 species
UACAGGGGGGGCAAGCGUUGUUCGGAAUUACUGGGCGUAAAGGGUUCGUAGGUGGCCAACUAAGUCAGACGUGAAAUCCCUCAGCUUAACUGGGGAACUGCGUCUGAUACUGGUUGGCUUGAGUGCAGGAGAGGAACGCGGAAUUCCAGGUGUAGCGGUGAAAUGCGUAGAUAUCUGGAGGAACACCGGUGGCGAAGGCGGCGUUCUGGACUGCAACUGACACUGAGGAACGAAAGCCAGGGGAGCAAACGGGAUUAGAUACCCCGGUAGUCCUGGCCCUAAACGAUGAAUGCUUGGUGUGGCGGGUAUCGAUCCCUGCCGUGCCGAAGUUAACGCAUUAAGCAUUCCGCCUGGGGAGUACGGUCGCAAGGCUGAA